rnacentral:rRNA from 1 species
CACUGUGGAAUUCGCCCUUCUUGGUCAUUUAGAGGAAGUAAAAGUCGUAACAAGGCUUUCCGUAGGUGAACCUGCGGAAGGAUCAUUAAAGAAAUUUAAUAAUUUUGAAAAUGGAUUUUUUUUUUGUUUUGGCAAGAGCAUGAGAGCUUUUACUGGGCAAGAAGACAAGAGAUGGAGAGUCCAGCCGGGCCUGCGCUUAAGUGCGCGGUCUUGCUAGGCUUGUAAGUUUCUUUCUUGCUAUUCCAAACGGUGAGAGAUUUCUGUGCUUUUGUUAUAGGACAAUUAAAACCGUUUCAAUACAACACACUGUGGAGUUUUCAUAUCUUUGCAACUUUUUCUUUGGGCAUUCGAGCAAUCGGGGCCCAGAGGUUAACAAACACAAACAAUUUUAUCUAUUCAUUAAAUUUUCGUCAAAAACAAGAAUUUUCGUAACUGGAAAUUUUAAAAUAUUAAAAACUUUCAACAACGGAUCUCUUGGUUCUCGCAUCGAUGCAGAACGCAGCGAAAUGCGAUACGUAAUGUGAAUUGCAGAAUUCCGUGAAUCAUCGAGUCUUUGAACGCACAUUGCGCCCCUUGGUAUUCCAGGGGGCAUGCCUGUUUGAGCGUCAUUUCCUUCUCAAACAUUCUGUUUGGUAGUGAGUGAUACUCUUUGGAGUUAACUUGAAAUUGCUGGCCUUUUCAUUGGAUGUUUUUUUUUUCCAAAGAGAGGUUUCUCUGCGUGCUUGAGGUAUAAUGCAAGUACGGUCGUUUUAGGUUUUACCAACUGCGGCUAAUCUUUUUUAUACUGAGCGUAUUAGAACGUUAUCGAUAAGAAGAGAGCGUCUAGGCGAACAAUGUUCUUAAAGUUUGACCUCAAAUCAGGUAGGAGUACCCGCUGAACUUAAGCAUAUCAAUAAGCGGAGGAAAAGAAACCAACCGGGAUUGCCUUAGUAACGGCGAGUGAAGCGGCAAAAGCUCAAAUUUGAAAUCUGGUACCUUCGGUGCCCGAGUUGUAAUUUGGAGAGGGCAACUUUGGGGCCGUUCCUUGUCUAUGUUCCUUGGAACAGGACGUCAUAGAGGGUGAGAAUCCCGUGUGGCGAGGAGUGCGGUUCUUUGUAAAGUGCCUUCGAAGAGUCGAGUUGUUUGGGAAUGCAGCUCUAAGUGGGUGGUAAAUUCCAUCUAAGCUGAAUAUUGGCGAGAGACCGAUAGCGAACAAGUACAGUGAUGGAAAGAUGAAAAGAACUCUGAAAAGAGAGUGAAAAAGUACGUGAAAUUGUUGAAAGGGAAGGGCAUUUGAUCAGACAUGGUGUUUUGUGCCCUCUGCUCCUUGUGGGUAGGGGAAUCUCGCAUUUCACUGGGCCAGCAUCAGUUUUGGUGGCAGGAUAAAUCCAUAGGAAUGUAGCUUGCCUCGGUAAGUAUUAUAGCCUGUGGGAAUACUGCCAGCUGGGACUGAGGACUGCGACGUAAGUCAAGGAUGCUGGCAUAAUGGUUAUAUGCCGCCCGUCUUGAAACAGCGGACCAAGGGCGAAUUUCCACCAUUGG